UGGAGACGCGGAAAAAUCCAAAGAUUUUCUCACCGAGAGAGAGACGUCUGAGUAAAGACCAAAGAGAUUCCAAGAAGCGCAGAGGCAAAUCGGCACUGGGACCUUGGCUGGCUUUCUUGAUGUCAAGAGUACUCACAUGCAGCCACAGUUACAUUCACUGAAAUAAAAUAGAGCACGUUGAACAC